GGCGUAAGCGCGCGCAGGCGGUCCUUUAAGUCUGAUGUGAAAGCCCACGGCUCAACCGUGGAGGGUCAUUGGAAACUGGGGGACUUGAGUGCAGAAGAGGAAAGUGGAAUUCCAAGUGUAGCGGUGAAAUGCGUAGAGAUUUGGAGGAACACCAGUGGCGAAGGCGACUUUCUGGUCUGUAACUGACGCUGAGGCGCGAAAGCGUGGGGAGCAAACAGGAUUAGAUACCCUGGUAGUCCACGCCGUAAACGAUGAGUGCUAAGUGUUAGGGGGUUUCCGCCCCUUAGUGCUGCAGCUAACGCAUUAAGCACUCCGCCUGGGGAGUACGGUCGCAAGACUGAAACUCAAAGGAAUUGACGGGGGCCCGCACAAGCGGUGGAGCAUGUGGUUUAAUUCGAAACAACGCGAAGAACCUUACCAGGUCUUGA
rnacentral:rRNA from 1 species